UACGUAGGGGGCAAGCGUUGUCCGGAUUUAUUGGGCGUAAAGAGCGUGUAGGCGGCCAGGUAGGUCCGUUGUGAAAACUGGAGGCUUAACCUCCAGCGGUCGAUGGAAACCAUCUGGCUAGAGUCCGGAAGAGGAGAGUGGAAUUCCUGGUGUAGCGGUGAAAUGCUUAGAGAUCGUCCAGAACACCGAUAGCGAAGGCAGCUUACUAAGGAGUAACUGACGCUGAGGCACGAAAGUGUGGGGAUCAAACAGG
rnacentral:rRNA from 1 species